rnacentral:rRNA from 1 species
UACGUAGGGGGCAAGCGUUGUCCGGAUUUAUUGGGCGUAAAGAGCGUGUAGGCGGCCAUACAGGUCAGCUGUGAAAACUCGAGGCUCAACCUCGAGACGUCGGUUGAAACCGUAUGGCUAGAGUCCGGAAGAGGAGAGUGGAAUUCCCGGUGUAGAGGUGAAAUUCGUAGAUAUCGGGAGGAACACCUGUGGCGAAGGCGGCCAUCUGGACAACUACUGACACUGAGACGCGAAAGCGUGGGUAGCAAACAGG